rnacentral:rRNA from 1 species
UAUGUUGUUUUUUUUUAAGUUUUUUUUUUAAUUAAAUUAUUUAUUUUUGUUAAAGUAUUUAUUUAGAACUAAUUUUUUUCUUUGAUAGUUUAUUAGUACUGUAAAGGAAUAUUUAUUUUUAAUUUUGGAAGCAGUUUUUUAUGUACCUUUUGUAUCAGGGUUAAUCUAUUUAUUUUAAUUUAUAAUAUUUUCCCGAAGGGAAAUGAUUUAUUUUUAAAUGUUGUUUAGUGUUUUAUAAUUAUCAAUUAUUUAUUAAUAGUAAUGAUAUGUUAUUCGUUUUUUCUGUUAUCUGGUUUCUUAAGAUUAAAUUUAAUUUUUUAUUAUUUAGUUUAAUUGAUUAUUAUUUUUUUUUUUAUUUUUUAUUAAUAUUUUAUUGGGGAUUAUCUUGGUAUUUUUGUAAUAAUUUUAUUUUUUAUUAAUUUUUUUAGGCUUAGAAUCAGUCUUAAUAUAUUUUCGUAAUUGUUUAUUUUAUUAUAUUUUUUAUUUGUUUAUAUUUUGUUUUUUAUUAAGAUUUUUAAUUUAAUAUUUUAUUAUUUAUAAAUGAUUUAAUUAGUAUAUUUUUAAUUAUUAAUAUAGUAAUUCGGCAAUUAAUUAAUUUCCACCUGUUUAUCAAAAACAUGUUUUUUAGUUUUUAUUAAAAAUUUAAUCUGCCCAAUGAUUUUUUUUUAAUGGCCGCAGUAAUUUGACUGUGCAAAGGUAGCAUAAUAAUUAGUCUUUUAAUUAAAGUCUUGUAUGAAUGAUUGGAUGAGAAAUUAUCUUUCUUUAUUAUUUUAACUGAAUUUGAUAUUUAGGUGAAAAAGCUUAAAUUUUUCUGUGGGACGAUAAGACCCUAUAGAUCUUUAAAAUUAUUUUUUUUUAAUAUUUUUAGAAUUUAUAUUUGUUAUUAAAUUAUUAAUUUUUUUGUUGGGGUGAUAAAUUAAUUAAUAUAACUUUUUUAUGUUUUUUCAUUAAUUUAUGUUUUUAUGAUCUUUUAUUAAUGAUUAAUAGAUUAAGUUACCUUAGGGAUAACAGCGUGAUUUAUUUGGAAAGUUCAUAUUUAUAAAUAAGUUUGCGACCUCGAUGUUGGAUUAAGAUUAGAAUAAGGGGUAGGUUUUUUAUUUCUAGGUCUGUUCGACCUUUAAAAUCUUACAUGAUCUGAGUUCAGACCGGCGUGAGCCAGGUUGGUUUCUAUCUUCAGAUUAUUAUGAUUAUUUUAGUACGAAAGGACCAGUAUAGUUAACUUAUUAGUUUUUAUUUAAUUAUUAUUAA